ACCUUUCAAAAAUCGAAGUAUUGCGUGUAUAUAUAGGUAGGCACUCUUUUUAAUUGUAACAGUGUACUCUAUAGCAACAGUUCAGUUUUUUCUUUGGAUAGGCUACGGGCCCAGAACUCACUAUGUCCAACAAGGUUUUACUUUCCAUAGCAACGUUUCUAGUUCUGUGUAUCACGUGUCAAGCGCAAAAUUUCUACUCCCCGUUGCCCCACCCUUGCGACCGCCCCUGCCCGUAUAAUUACAACCCAGUGUGCGCCAGCAACGGCGUCACCUACCCCAACCUUUGCACCUUCAACGUGGCCAACUGCAAGCGCCCACCCUGGGCCAAGAUCUGGAUCAUUUUGAACGGGCCAUGUCCAUUUUACUAUAAUGAUUAAACAACAAUAAAAACAAAAUUCAUAAAAAAAU